rnacentral:tRNA from 1 species
CGCGGGGUGGAGCAGUUUCGGUAGCUCGUCGGGCUCAUAACCCGAAGGUCGUCGGUUCAAAUCCGGCCCCCGCAACCA